rnacentral:rRNA from 1 species
UAGGGAAUCUUCGGCAAUGGACGAAAGUCUGACCGAGCAACGCCGCGUGAGUGAAGAAGGUUUUCGGAUCGUAAAACUCUGUUGUUAGAGAAGAACAAGGACGUUAGUAACUGAACGUCCCCUGACGGUAUCUAACCAGAAAGCCACGGCUAACUACGUGCCAGCAGCCGCGGUAAUACGUAGGUGGCAAGCGUUGUCCGGAUUUAUUGGGCGUAAAGCGAGCGCAGGCGGUUUCUUAAGUCUGAUGUGAAAGCCCCCGGCUCAACCGGGGAGGGUCAUUGGAAACUGGGAGACUUGAGUGCAGAAGAGGAGAGUGGAAUUCCGUGUGUAGCGGUGAAAUGCGUAGAUAUAUGGGGGAACACCAGUGGCGAAGGCGGCUCUCUGGUCUGUAACUGACGCUGAGGCUCGAGAGCGUGGGGAGCAAACAGG